AUGGGCGAUCCCCCGUGUAAGAGUGAGGUGGAGGAGGACAUUCCAGUCCAUGUGACCACAGAAAAUCCCAGUAAGAACUCGGAGGGAAACUUCAUCUUAUCACUAAAUUAUAAAGGAGAAGAUGAAGAUAUCGGGCAUGGCUCUUCAGGAGAAACCCUCAUUACCUGUAAUGUCCAUCCAGGACUUCACAGACCAGAUCUGUCAUAUAAUGAUCCUAAUAAUAAGGAACCUUCUCCUGACCAAUCACAGAUUGUUAUCACAAGUACCGGGCCCAAAGAGGCUACAAAUUUUCAGUGUGGGGAAUGUGGAAAACAGUUUACAAACAUCUAUGGUCUAAAUGCACACAGAAGAAUUCACACAGAAGAGGAGCCAUAUUCAUGUUCAACAUUUGGUAAAGGUUUUAUGUAUGAAUCGCAAGUCAUGAAAGAUGAGGGAAUUAACACAGCAGAGCCGUCGUAUUCAUGUUCAGAAUGCGGCAAAUGUUUUAAAAAAAAGACAAGUCUUAUUAUACAUCAGAAAAAUCACACAAGGGAGAAAAAAAUUUUAUGUUCCGAAUGUGGGAAAUAUUUUAGAUAUAAAUCAGAUCUUGCUAAACAUCAGAAAAUUCACACAGGAGAGAAGCCGUAUCCAUGUUCAAAAUGUGAGAAAUGUUUUGUAUUUAAAUCACAGCUUACUGAACAUGAGAAAAGGCACAAAGGAGAGAAGCCGCAUUUAUGUUACAAAUGUGGGAAAGGUUUUUUAUAUAAAUCACAGCUUGCUGAUCAUGAGAGAAGUCACGAAGUAAAGAUAAAGAAGCCGUAUUUAUGUUCAAAAUGUGGGAAAGGUUUUAUAUAUAAACCACUGCUUACUGAUCAUGAGAAGAGUCACAUAGGAGAGCAGUAUUCAUGUGCAGAAUGUGGGAAAUGUUUUCUUUAUAAAGGGAGCCUCAAGGUGCAUCAGAUAAGUCACACAGAAGAAAAAACAUUUAUAUGCUCCAAAUGUGGUGACUGUUUUACAAAAAAGUCAGGUCUUGUUUCACAUGAGAAAGUUCACACAGGAGAGAAGCCACUUUGAUUUUCUUCAUGUGAAAAAGAAAAACAGAAUUUUAAACUCAUUAGAGAAUUCACACAUAGAGGAAAUUAAAUUUUUGUUUGGAAUGUGGAAGUGUUUCCAUGCAUUAAACAGCGUAUAUGAGAGUAUAUUUUUCUGUGGAAUUACCCUGGGUCUGCCAAAUACCCAAAUAAUAUUACCCUGAGGUCUACAGUGACCAGGAUCCAUGGAGGAAAAGUAUUGUGGAUAUGAGAAAAAAGAAGAAGAAGAGCGUUGUUUACUGUCAGAGCCGUGAAGAUGAUUGUCCCCAUGGACCUUGCUUCUUACCGUAUUCAUACCUCCUCCAGCACUGCAGGAGAAUCCAGAGGGACACAGUGAGAAACGGAAGGACACCUCCUGUAGACUUUUAUGUAACCUAUGUGGACAUAUGGAAUGGGUAUUUGCUCUUCACUAAUACAAUAUAUCAAGAUAAAGGUGAUGGGAAAAAUAACAAUUUGAGUUGACAAUAAUUUGUUAAAAACCCAGAUCUUCUAUUUCCUUCCAUUUCCUUCUCUUUGCCUCAUUCACACUUGUGUAUUCUGGUCAGUAUCUUACACCAGUAUUUGUAGGAUAUAAUUAGGAGUAGCUCCCGACCAUGGAAGACUUUCCAUUAUACUUUUCUCUGUUCUAUUCCGUUCCCUGUUACGGCUUACAGAUACUGAUACAAGAUACCGACCGAAAUACAAAAGUGUGAAUGAGGCCUCACUGUCUAUUGGUCUCUUCCAAUGGAGCUUUUAUUGCCUACUCUCCCAUAGAGAUCAUGCACAGCCAGUUAUACAUCUCAUAUCUUCCUUGGCGGUCUGUGGAGGUCUUCAUUCAUCUAGGUCAUGAUAUAUCAGUAGUAAUAAAUCAGAGCAACUGGACAUGUAUUUUUUUUCUCGAAGACUUUUCACUGGUCAUCUGAAUUCCUUUCUCAUAUAGAAUGGCUUGUACAAGAAAUCUCCGGCAAUAUACACUGCCACUUACAAUGCUGUCCUAACACCUCUCCUGAUGCAGUACAAUUACACCUAAUGACAUCAGUAAUGCAAAUGCAAUCAACACCUUACCUCCAUGGCUGAACCAUGAAUCACUAGUGUCGGAGAUUUCUCAUAUAAGGUAUUGUAAUUUACAAAGACAGUCGGAUGACUUGUGAAAUACCAGUCCAGUUGCUCUGACUUAAUACUGACAUUCCUUGAUGGGUUUCUCACAAAGAGAGGAAAAUACAAGUAGCGCUCAGGGAUCACCGAGUAAACUUGGAAAUAACUUUAUACACUCAUUGACACAAAAA